rnacentral:rRNA from 1 species
UACGUAGGGGGCUAGCGUUGUCCGGAUUUAUUGGGCGUAAAGAGCGUGUAGGCGGCCAGGUAGGUCUGCUGUGAAAACUCGAGGCUCAACCUCGAGACGUCGGCGGAAACCAUCUGGCUAGAGUCCGGAAGAGGAGAGUGGAAUUCCUGGUGUAGCGGUGAAAUGCGCAGAUAUCAGGAGGAAUACCGGUGGCGAAGGCGGCAUCCUGGACCAUUACUGACGCUGAGGCGCGAAAGCUAGGGGAGCAAACGGG